UACAGAGGUCUCAAGCGUUGUUCGGAUUCAUUGGGCGUAAAGGGCGCGUAGGCGGCGGGGUCAGUCGGGUGUGAAAUCUUGGGGCUUAACCCCGAAACGGCACUCGAAACUGCCCGGCUGGAGGGCCGGAGAGGAGAUCGGAAUUCACGGUGUAGCAGUGAAAUGCGUAGAGAUCGUGAGGAAGACCUGUGGCGAAGGCGGAUCUCUGGACGGCCCCUGACGCUGAGGCGCGAAGGCUAGGGGAGCAAACGGG
rnacentral:rRNA from 1 species